UGAAGGUGAUGUUCUUUUUGGCGUCU
rnacentral:piRNA from 1 species